rnacentral:rRNA from 1 species
GAAUGUUGGACAAUGGGCGAAAGCCUGAUCCAGCAAUGCCGCGUGCAGGAUGAAGCCCUUCGGGUUGUAAACUGCUUUUGUACGGGAAGAAAAGCUUUUGGUUAUUACACUGGAGUCCUGACGGUAUCGUAAGAAUAAGCACCGGCUAACUACGGCCAAGCAGCCGCGGUAAUACGUAGGGUGCAAGCGUUAAUCGGAAUUACUGGGCGUAAAGCGUGCGCAGGCGGUUUUGUAAGACAGAGGUGAAAUCCCCGGGCUCAACCUGGGAACUGCCUUUGUGACUGCAAGGCUAGAGUACGGCAGAGGGGGGUGGAAUUCCGCGUGUAGCAGUGAAAUGCGUAGAUAUGCGGAGGAACACCGAUGGCGAAGGCAACCCCCUGGGCCUGUACUGACGCUCAUGCACGAAAGCGUGGGGAGCAAAC